CGCCUGGGGAGUACGGCCGCAAGGUUAAAACUCAAAUGAAUUGACGGGGGCCCGCACAAGCGGUGGAGCAUGUGGUUUAAUUCGACGCAACGCGAAGAACCUUACCUGGCCUUGACAUCCAGAGAACUUUCCAGAGAUGGAUUGGUGCCUUCGGGAACUCUGAGACAGGUGCUGCAUGGCCGUCGUCAGCUCGUGUCGUGAGAUGUUGGGUUAAGUCCCGUAACGAGCGCAACCCCUAUCCCUGGUUGCUAGCAGGUAAUGCUGAGAACUCCAGGGAGACUGCCGGUGACAAACCGGAGGAAGGUGGGGAUGACGUCAGGUCAUCAUGGCCCUUACGGCCAGGGCUACACACGUGCUACAAUGGCGCGUACAGAGGGCUGCCAACUCGCGAGAGUAAGCCAAUCCCUUAAAACGCGUCGUAGUCCGGAUCGGAGUCUGCAACUCGACUCCGUGAAGUCGGAAUCGCUAGUAAUCGCGAAUCAGAAUGUCGCGGUGAAUACGUUCCCGGGCCUUGUACACACCGCCCGUCACACCAUGGGAGUGGAUUGCACCAGAAGUAGUUAGUCUAACCUUCGGGAGGACGAUUACCACGGUGUGGUUCAUGACUGGGGUGAAGUCGUAACAAGGUAACCGUA
rnacentral:rRNA from 1 species